rnacentral:rRNA from 1 species
GACGGAGGAUGCAAGUGUUAUCCGGAAUCACUGGGCGUAAAGCGUCUGUAGGUGGUUCAAUAAGUCAACUGUUAAAUCUUGAGGCUCAACUUCAAAAUCGCAGUCGAAACUAUUGGACUCGAGUAUAGUAGGGGUAAAGGGAAUUUCCAGUGGAGCGGUGAAAUGCGUAGAGAUUGGAAAGAACACCAAUGGCGAAAGCACUUUACUGGGCUAUUACUGACACUGAGAGACGAAAGCUAGGGUAGCAAAUA